rnacentral:tRNA from 1 species
GCCCUCGUGGCGGAAAUGGAAUACGCGUAGCGUUUAGAACGCUAUCUCGCAAGAGUUGGAGGUUCAAAUCCUCCCGAGGGCA